GAUAUCUUCCUUUGAGUAUACUCAAACUGUUGAAAUUAGUAAAUAUUAAAGAAACAUGUGAAUGUGUUUCAUUAUAGUGUAAUGGUAAAUAUUUUUGCUAAUAAUAGUAAAGUAAUACGGUCGUCUGAAUGUAUAGAAACUAUCGUCAACUCUUUAAAUUCUCAUUUGUCAACAUGCUGUUUUCUUCAGGGUUGGAACUACCAAAAGUUUUAGACAGUACAACUAACCAUGGCUGCCACCUCUGCCGAAACAAAUCUGAGUAAUAAACCUUAGUAAACCGA
rnacentral:lncRNA from 1 species